rnacentral:rRNA from 1 species
ACCCAUGCAGUCGACGGUGAAGCCCUUCGGGGUGGAUCAGUGGCGAACGGGUGAGUAACACGUGGGCAAUCUGCCCUGCACUCUGGGACAAGCCCUGGAAACGGGGUCUAAUACCGGAUAUGACCUUCCUCCGCAUGGGGGUUGGUGGAAAGCUCCGGCGGUGCAGGAUGAGCCCGCGGCCUAUCAGCUUGUUGGUGGGGUAAUGGCCUACCAAGGCGACGACGGGUAGCCGGCCUGAGAGGGCGACCGGCCACACUGGGACUGAGACACGGCCCAGACUCCUACGGGAGGCAGCAGUGGGGAAUAUUGCACAAUGGGCGAAAGCCUGAUGCAGCGACGCCGCGUGAGGGAUGACGGCCUUCGGGUUGUAAACCUCUUUCAGCAGGGAAGAAGCGCAAGUGACGGUACCUGCAGAAGAAGCACCGGCUAACUACGUGCCAGCAGCCGCGGUAAUACGUAGGGUGCGAGCGUUGUCCGGAAUUAUUGGGCGUAAAGAGCUCGUAGGCGGCCUGUCGCGUCGGAUGUGAAAGCCCGGGGCUUAACCCCGGGUCUGCAUUCGAUACGGGCAGGCUAGAGUGUGGUAGGGGAGAUCGGAAUUCCUGGUGUAGCGGUGAAAUGCGCAGAUAUCAGGAGGAACACCGGUGGCGAAGGCGGAUCUCUGGGCCAUUACUGACGCUGAGGAGCGAAAGCGUGGGGAGCGAACAGGAUUAGAUACCCUGGUAGUCCACGCCGUAAACGUUGGGAACUAGGUGUUGGCGACAUUCCACGUCGUCGGUGCCGCAGCUAACGCAUUAAGUUCCCCGCCUGGGGGAGUACGGCCGCAAGGCUAAAACUCAAAGGAAUUGACGGGG